rnacentral:rRNA from 1 species
GACGAACGCUGGCGGCGUGCUUAACACAUGCAAGUCGAACGGAGUGGCGAACGGGUGAGUAACACGUGGGUGGCCUGCCCUCCACUUCGGGAUAAGCCUGUGAAAAUGCGUCUAAUACCGGAUAGUGUGGGAUGGGACCGCGGCCUAUCAGCUUGUUGGUGGGGUAAUGGACUACCACGGCGGCGACGGGUAGCCGACCUGGGAGGGUGGACGGCCACAUUGGGACUGAGACACGGCCCAGACUCCUACGGGAGGCAGCAGUGGGGAAUAUUGCGCAAUGGGCGGAAGCCUGAGGCAGCGACGCCGGGUGGGGGAUGACGGCCUUCGGGUUGUAAACUCCUUUCACCAUCGACGCGGUAGAUGGAGAAGAAGCACCGGCUAACUACGUGCCAGCCGCCGCGGUAAUUC